rnacentral:rRNA from 1 species
UACGUAGGGGGCAAGCGUUGUCCGGAUUUAUUGGGCGUAAAGAGCGUGUAGGCGGCCAAGCAGGUCAGCUGUGAAAACUCGAGGCUCAACCUCGAGAGGUCGGUGGAAACUGUUUGGCUAGAGUCCGGAAGAGGAGAGUGGAAUUCCCGGUGUAGCGGUGAAAUGCGCAGAUAUCGGGAAGAACACCCGUGGCGAAGGCGGCUCUCUGGGACGGUACUGACGCUGAGACGCGAAAGCGUGGGGAGCGAACAGG